UACGGAGGGAGCUAGCGUUGUUCGGAAUUACUGGGCGUAAAGCGCGCGUAGGCGGCUUUGUAAGUUAGAGGUGAAAGCCCGGGGCUCAACCCCGGAAUUGCCUUUAAGACUGCAUCGCUAGAAUCCAGGAGAGGUGAGUGGAAUUCCGAGUGUAGAGGUGAAAUUCGUAGAUAUUCGGAAGAACACCAGUGGCGAAGGCGGCUCACUGGACUGGUAUUGACGCUGAGGUGCGAAAGCUAGGGGAGCAAACGGG
rnacentral:rRNA from 1 species